rnacentral:rRNA from 1 species
CCCUUAGAUGUUCUGGGCCGCACGCGCGCUACACUGAUGCAUUCAACGAGCCUAUCCUUGACCGACAGGUCCGGGUAAUCUUUGAAUCUGCAUCGUGACGGGGAUAGAUUAUUGCAAUUAUUAAUCUUCAACGAGGAAUGCCUAGUAGGCGCAAGUCAUCAGCUUGCGUCGAUUACGUCCCUGCCCUUUGUACACACCGCCCGUCGCUCCUACCGAUUGGGUGUGCUGGUGAAAUGUUCGAAUCGGCCGUUUGUCGCGGUUUCCGCGUCAUGUGGCUGAGAAGUUCAUUAAACCCUCCCACCUAGAGGAAGGAGAAGUCGUAACA